AUUGAAAUGUACAGCAAAGCUUUGAUCACAAUGGUUUACCUACAGAAUCAAGUUAUCACCUCCUGGUUGCCAGCCUUUUGCAUGAGAUUUUUCUAAGCCUCACAAAGAUGGGCUAGAUGGAAAAUCAGGGCAUGUAUUCCUGACAGUCAUCUCAUCACAUGGUCUGGAAGCUGUAUGCACAUAGCAAAAAAAGUAAAGAUUAGGGACAGGAGCCCACACUCCUGGAUCCAAGAGACAGCCUCUGCUCACACAAGAACUCUCCCUGUGGCAUUGCUUCUCUCUAUGAGCAACAGGAUCUUCCAAAUCAGGACUGACCUGGCAGGAAGUGUGAAUCAGUUGUGCUCCAAGGACAUACCUUAUUGCCUUAUGCUUCUA